rnacentral:rRNA from 1 species
GUGAUCCGGUGGUUCUGAAUGGAAGGGCCAUCGCUCAACGGAUAAAAGGUACUCCGGGGAUAACAGGCUGAUACCGCCCAAGAGUUCAUAUCGACGGCGGUGUUUGGCACCUCGAUGUCGGCUCAUCACAUCCUGGGGCUGAAGUAGGUCCCAAGGGUAUGGCUGUUCGCCAUUUAAAGUGGUACGCGAGCUGGGUUUAGAACGUCGUGAGACAGUUCGGUCCCUAUCUGCCGUGGGCGCUGGAGAAUUGAGGGGGGCUGCUCCUAGUACGAGAGGACCGGAGUGGACGCAUCACUGGUGUUCGGGUUGUCAUGCCAAUGGCACUGCCCGGUAGCUAAAUGCGGAAGAGAUAAGUGCUGAAAGCAUCUAAGCACGAAACUUGCCCCGAGAUGAGUUCUCCCUGAGACUU